rnacentral:rRNA from 1 species
UACGUAGGGGGCAAGCGUUAUCCAGAUUUACUGGGCGUAAAGCGCGUGUAGGCGGCUGGUUAGGCGUGAUGUGAAAUCUUCCGGCUCAACCGGAAAACUGCAUUGCGAACCGGCCUGGCUAGAGUGCAGGAGAGGGAAGCGGAAUUCCAGGUGUAGCGGUGAAAUGCGUAGGUAUCUGGAGGAACACCAGUGGCGAAGGCGGCUUCCUGGCCUGCAACUGACGCUGAGACGCGAAAGCGUGGGGAGCGAACCGG